UACGUAGGUGGCAAGCGUUGUCCGGAUUUACUGGGCGUAAAGAGCGCGCAGGCGGUCGAGUAAGUCGAAUGUGAAAGCCCCCGGCUUAACUGGGGAGGGUCAUUCGAUACUGUUCGACUUGAAGGCAGGAGAGGGCAGCAGAAUUCCCGGUGUAGUGGUGAAAUGCGCAGAUAUCAGGAGGAACACCGGUGGCGAAGGCGGAUCUCUGGGCCAUUACUGACGCUGAGGAGCGAAAGCGUGGGGAGCGAACAGG
rnacentral:rRNA from 1 species